rnacentral:rRNA from 1 species
AUGGUCAAGUGAAUAAGAGCAUAAGGCGGAUGCCUUGGCACUGGGAGCCGAUGAAGGACGUGACAAGCUGCGAUAAGCUACGGGGAGGAGCACAUAUCCGUCAAUCCGUAGAUUUCCGAAUGGGGGAACCCACCUAUAGUAAUGUGUAGGUAUUUUCGUAUGAAUCUAUAGUACGAAUAAAGGCAACCCGGGGAACUGAAACAUCUAAGUACCCGGAGGAAG